rnacentral:rRNA from 1 species
UACGAAGGGGGCUAGCGUUGCUCGGAAUCACUGGGCGUAAAGGGUGCGUAGGCGGAUAGGUAAGUCCGUGGUGAAAUCCUGCAGCUUAACUGCAGAACUGCCGUGGAUACUAUCUAUCUUGAAUAUCGUGGAGGUUAGCGGAAUAUGUCAUGUAGCGGUGAAAAUGCUUUAGAUAUGACAUAGAACACCCCAUUGCGAAGGCAGCUAACUACGCGAUCAUUGACGCUGAUGCACGAAAGCGUGGGGGAGCAAACAGG